AUACGACCAUAGGAAACUGAAUACAAUGUACCCCGUCCGAUCUACAAUAUUUAAACAGUUUACCGGCGGACUAGUAGUCGGGUGGGUGACCACCGGCGAAUCCCCGCUGUCGUAUG